rnacentral:rRNA from 1 species
GACGAACGCUGGCGGCGUGCAUAACACAUGCAAGUCAAGGGGGUCAGUAGCAAUACUGGCAACCGGCGAACGGGUGCGUAACACGUAAGCGACCUACCUCGAUGUGGGGCAUAGCCGGCCUAACGGCCGGGUAAUUCCGCAUAAGAUCCCGAUGAGGCAUCUCAUUGGGAUGAAACCAGUAAUGGGCGUCGAGAGGGGCUUGCGGCCUAUCAGCUAGUUGGUGAGGAACGGCUCACCAAGGCUACGACGGGUAGCUGGUCUGAGAGGAUGGCCAGCCAUAUUGGGACUGAGAUACGGCCCAGACUCCUACGGGAGGCAGCAGUGGGGAAUCUUGCGCAAUGGCCUAACGGCUGACGCAGCGACGCCGCGUGAGGGAUGAAGCUUUUCGGAGUGUAAACCUCUGUUGCCCGGGACGAAUAGCGGAUUAUUCCGACUUGACGGUACC